GUGCUUGCUUUAGCAGCACAUAUUAAACUAAAAUCGGAACGAUACAGACAAGACUAGCAUGGCCCCUGUGCAAGAAUGACACGCAAAUUCAUGAUGCGUUCCAUAUUUUU
rnacentral:snRNA from 1 species